rnacentral:rRNA from 1 species
UAGGGAAUCUUCCGCAAUGGGCGAAAGCCUGACGGAGCAACGCCGCGUGAGUGAUGAAGGUCUUCGGAUCGUAAAACUCUGUUAUUAGGGAAGAACAAAUGUGUAAGUAACUAUGCACGUCUUGACGGUACCUAAUCAGAAAGCCACGGCUAACUACGUGCCAGCAGCCGCGGUAAUACGUAGGUGGCAAGCGUUAUCCGGAAUUAUUGGGCGUAAAGCGCGCGUAGGCGGUUUUUUAAGUCUGAUGUGAAAGCCCACGGCUCAACCGUGGAGGGUCAUUGGAAACUGGAAAACUUGAGUGCAGAAGAGGAAAGUGGAAUUCCAUGUGUAGCGAUGAAAUGCGCAGAGAUAUGGAGGAACACCAGUGGCGAAGGCGACUUUCUGGUCUGUAACUGACGCUGAUGUGCGAAAGCGUGGGGAUCAAACAGG